GGUAAAAACAUUCUUACAAAUCAAUCAAUAUUUUUUACUUUUGUCUCUUCAACAAGCAGAGAAACAAACUUUCGGGUUUCCGUAAGAAAUUGAAUAUUCGUACAACGCUUGGCAUCGAUUCCAGCGGUCAGCACGGAAAUUCAAUUAAAAAUUUCACCCUGCACUUAGUUUUGCUUGACUGUCGGACGACGUCGCUAGAGACCCUCGGACGGGGGUGCUGCUAUUAAUGGUCGCAUCGGAUAUCAGCUUCAUCUUCAUCAGAGAAUUAGCCUGGAACGAAUAAACUGAGCAGCUUCGAGAGAGUGUGUGUGCGUGCGGUCGUCGUCGGUUCGCGCAUUGGGACUCCACAGCAAACAUCAAUCAAAUCGAUGCGGCGGCUGGCUGGAACUCACGGUGUGGUGCAUACAACCCGGCACUGUGACGAUACGAGGACAGUUACAGUGACAACAAUGGUGCAAUCAAUUAGAAUGUAUACACCGCGCCUGGUGUCACCAGCCUCCAGCAGCUCUUCUCCCCCAUGGUGUGUCAUCGAUUGCCGUCAAAAUGGCUAAUGCAGAUGCAUCUAAACCUCCCCCACACCCCCAUUCUCGCGGAUGGCGGUUUGCAAUCAAUCACAGCCACGGGGAAGACUUGGGAACUGGCGACUGAUGUGUUUUGCACUCAUACAACUUCGGGAGAAGGGAAUGAAUGUCGGAGCAUGAUCAUAAAUCCCAUUAACAUGAUUUUUUUAUUCUAUAUUUUUCCGACGUUUCACCAUAUUUUGAUGAACUUCUUCAAAUAAAAAAAUAUAACAAAAUCAUAAUGAAUCGUCGCUUUAAGAGUUGUAGUGUGUUUAGCGAACUUGUUUCAUUAAUUAUUCUCUAUUUUAUAGAAAUAGCAAUUUUGUCAUUCAUUCACCCGCAAGUGGCAAACGACUUUUACAUUUCUCAUUUUUGCAUAUAAAAAUCCAAUUUGUUUUAUUUAAUUUAUGAGAAACAAUGCUGUAGACACCAUAUUUCUUUUGCCUAUUUAUUGUAAAGUUUUUUUUUUAUAGAAUACCU